rnacentral:rRNA from 1 species
AGCGAACGUUUGCGGCGGGCCUAACACACGCAAGUCGAACGGGCUAGCAAUAGUCAGUGGCGCACGGGUGCGUAACACGUGGGUAAUCAACCCUUCAGCUCGGGAUAACGCCUUGAAAGGGGCGCUAAUACCGGAUGCGACGCGAGGAGCCUCGGCGCUUCGCGGGAAAGAUUCGCAAGGAUCACUGAAGGACGAGCCUGCGGCCCAUCAGCUAGUUGGUGAGGUAAGAGCUCACCAAGGCGAAGACGGGUAGCUGGUCUGAGAGGAUGAUCAGCCACACUGGAACUGAGACACGGUCCAGACUCCUACGGGAGGCAGCAGUGGGGAAUAUUGCGCAAUGGGCGAAAGCCUGACGCAGCCACGCCGCGUGAGCGAUGAAGGCCU